rnacentral:rRNA from 1 species
AACGAACGCUGGCGGCAUGCCUAACACAUGCAAGUCGAACGAGACCUUCGGGUCUAGUGGCGCACGGGUGCGUAACGCGUGGGAACCUGCCCUUAGGUUCGGAAUAACUCCCCGAAAGGGGUGCUAAUACCGGAUAAUGUCUUCGGACCAAAGAUUGAUCGCCUUUGGAUGGGCCCGCGUUGGAUUAGCUAGUUGGUAGGGUAAAAGCCUACCAAGGCGACGAUCCAUAGCUGGUCUGAGAGGAUGAUCAGCCACACUGGGACUGAGAAACGGCCGAGACUCCUACGGGAGGCAGGAGUGGGGAAUAUUGGAAAAUGGGCGGAGGCCUGAUCCAGCAAUGCCGCGUGAGUGAUGAAGGCCUUAGGGUUGUAAAGCUCUUUUACCCGGGAUGAUAAUGACAGUACCGGGAGAAUAAGCUCCGGCUAACUCCGUG